GACGAACGCUGGCGGCGUGCUUAACACAUGCAAGUCGAACGGUGAAGCGCCUUCCUUUUUGGUGGGUGUGGUGGAGUGGCGAACGGGUGAGUAACACGUGAGUAACCUGCCCUCUUCUUCUGGAUAACCGCAUGAAAGUGUGGCCAAUACGUGAUAUUCUGGUUCCGUCGCAUGAUGGGUCUGGGAAAGAUAUUGUUUCGGUUGGGGAUGGGCUCGCGGCCUAUCAGAUUGUUGGUGUGGUGAUGGCCUACCAAGGCGGUGACGGGUAGCCGGCCUGAGAGGGUGGGCGGUCACAUUGGGACGGAGACGCGGCCCGGACUCGUACGGGAGGCAGCGGAGGGGAGUGGAGCACUAUGCGCGGAAGGCUGGUGCAGCGAAGCCGCGUGAGGGAUGGAGGGCUGCGGUUUGUGAAGCUCAUUCGCUAGUGAAGCGGGCCUGCCUCGUCUAUGGGUGGGUUGACGGUAGCUGGUAAAGAAGCGCCGGCUAACUACGUG
rnacentral:rRNA from 1 species